UGGCUCGUUGACGUCACUCGUCAUCCGGGAAGCUGCAGGUUGCGAGCGGUGACCGUGAGAGAGACAGGAGAUGGAGGAUGGAUGACAAGACGGGACAGGGCACAUUUAGGCUAUCCGUGUGGAACACUUUCAACAAGAUGCGGAUUGGAUUGAAUGAAGAGCUCAAUACUGGAAAGUCCCAGCUGAAAGGCUACAGUUCAGAUGUUCGUGUAGAUGAAUGCAGAUUCCACCAGGCUGUUAAAUUGGAGGAAUUUGACACUUUCAGAAUAUUGAACGUUUGUCCGAGCCAAGGAGAGCAAACAGUGAUGCAGUAUCAGCUGUGUGAUGAGCUGCCAUGUGCGCCAUUUCAGUUAUUCCCCUCUGUACAGAAGGAUUAUGUCAACAGGGUGUUGAUUUUUUCUUAAGCUUAGAUGUGAUCUUCCACCUAAAAGUAUGUCUCAGGAGCUCAGUAGUCCUGACCAGACCGCUGAACUGCAGCCGAAGAGCAAAGCCCUGCUCUGGGAGAUCCCACGUUUCCCAGGAGGAGCGCAGCUGUCAGCACUGUUCAAGGUGGAUGUUCCCGGUCUAAGCUCCGCCUCUUUGUUGGAGGUCGGUCCUGUCAGUAUGUCAUUCGAACUGCCUAAACAAACCUGCAGUGGCCUUCAGAUCCGCUUCCUCCAGCUCUCUCCAACUCAGACAGGACUGUCACAACAUUGGGUUCAAUAUGUCACUCAUUCGGACUCCUACAUACGGAUCUGACCUAACCAGAUGGAAAGAACAGUGAAAAAACUGCUGUGUGCCUCUUCCAGCCACAAUUUAUUUUUUAAUUUAUUUUUUAAUUUUGUUUCAUUUUCAUUUUCAUACUUUCAUUUUUCAUUCCUCUCUCUUUGAGAGAGACUGAAUCUGGAGAUUUUUUGGAGAUAUAACAAUAUU